rnacentral:lncRNA from 1 species
CAUUCACUUCCACUUCAAGUACAUGUAUCGCAGAUUAUACACUAAUAUCUUAUGAGUCCCACUUCCACUUCUGGUUUGCAUAAAUGAACCCAUAUUCACAAACUACCCAAAAGUAAAGUUGGAAUACCUUCGCCUGAAUACCAAUGUUUCUACUUUUCAGCAAUUUGGCUACUGAAACAGAAACAAAUUAUCAACAAUUCCUUCUCAGAUAUAGUUGUAAAGAUAUUUAUGCAUCAUGGUUCAAUUGCACCUUAUGAGUAUUGACAUGAAAAUGGAUAAGAAAUAUCUUGCAGAGAUGCUUCUACUCUGAGUAGCAGCAGACGUUUACCUGCAUGAUAAGCUUCCGCAUCCAACCAGUAGAUGAAGAAACACAACCAAAUUCCACUGCAGAAAUCUUGCGUUUGUAGCAAAAUUCCACACACGGCCUUCUACAUAUUACUUUUGGUGCUCCUCAUAUGCAGCAGGUGCUUUAUAUUUCCCUUAACCAGUUGUCCUG